AUGAUGAUUGGUAGACUGAAGAUUGAUCCUUGGCGAACCGCUACUUCUACCUGGAAUUCUUCACUAUACUCAUUGCAGACCCUUACCUUACUGACGGCAUUCGUGUACAGCUCUUAUUAACCACUCAUCUAUCCCUAGUUUCCACAUAGCCCAUCAGAUAAGGGAUCGGGGAACCCUGUCAAAGGCUUUCUCCAAGUC